GCAAUAAACCACUGACUUGCUCCUGGGUCAGAAGGGCCACCAUGCCUCUCUAAGCCUCAGAUCACGUGCUUUUCUUUUUGUGGCGCCACCAUCAAAUAAACCUCUAGUUUCUUCUGCUAAGUGACUGGCUCAUUUGUUAGGUUCGAUUUUCCCCGGUGCAAACAAUCACACUGUACAUUUCCCUAAUCCCCUCUGUAAGUGCAGAGAAAUUCUAGAAUCAUGAAACUCUGAGCCAGAAGGAACCUCCUCGAUUUAUGUGGAAGUAAACAGAGAGAAAAGUUAAAUGACCACCCUGUCUGGCUUGAGGGCUAAUACCACACUCCAGGUCCCCCUGCCCCUGGACCUUCGCCUCCAACCUCCUGGACACGUCCUCAACAGCAUUUCAAGAAAAUUACUGCGGUAUGAGAAGGGUUAUGUAGAAAGAUGCGGGCACUAAAACCAGUUUAGAGAUUCCAGCGCUGGGGACCCUAGGCAAGCCAGAGAGAGUGUGCAGACUCUGUAGAAAAAUAACGGAAUAAACCGAGGACGGUGGAGAGAAAAAUGGCAGCUUGUACGGCAUCUCAGAGGAGCCAAAAUCAUACCGAGGAAGCCGCCACAGGAAAAGGCCUUGUGCACAGAACAGAAAUAAGACUCCAGAAGGACCUGUGAGAGAAAGAGUCUGUGUGCACCAUCUGAGGAAGCAAGCCCAGGCCUCCUCCCAGGGUGAGCUAGUGGAAGGCAGGGCUAUGGUAAGGUGAACUGUAAGCUGCUGGAAGCUCCAUGGAGCGAGGUGAGCAGGCCAGGGCCUGGCCACACCAAGUCUGCUCCACCCACUAUGGGAUGCAGCAUCCUGAAUCCGGUCAGACCUUGGACAGGCAGAAUUCCAGCAGCACAAACACAGGUAAUAGAGGAUUCAUGGGCCAUCUGGAUUCUGAAACAUCUGGACACUGAGUUUCUGUGGAGGAGAGUCAAAGGGAAGAGAUAAUCAAUGGCAGAGUUGUCUCCUGAGAGACUUAAAUCAGCGGUGGUAUUCUGGUUGUAUUGCUCUGGGAAAGUUGACACCAAAAAUAGAAGAAAAA
rnacentral:lncRNA from 1 species